GAGGGUGUAGCUCAGUGGGAAGGUGUGUGCCUAGUACGCACGAGGUCCUGGGUUCAGUCCCCGCCACCUCCA
rnacentral:tRNA from 1 species